UAAAAGUAGAAGUACUCAGAGUCUAAAUGUUCCUCAAGUAAAAGUAGAAAAGUAUUAUCAUCAAAAUAUAGUUAAAGUACCAAAAGAUGACCACAUGCUUUUGGCCGUGAAAUUAUUGUACAGGUACUGAUGAUCACUGAAAAUAAUCAGACAGGAAGCUCUGGAGUCAGAUGAUUGACAGGUCGUGUGAUGAUUGACAGGUCGUUAAAAGAGCUAACUUCUUACCCUUUUUUACAUCAGAUGUUUUGUGUACAUAGAUGAAAUAUAAUCUGAACAUACAAAUCUAUAUAUUCUGUACGGCUGAGGGUAUGUUGAUAACGUGCUGUUUUCUGUGGCCAAUCGUCGCUGUCAGAUCCUGCGUGGUCCCGCCCCUCCUCGGCUCUGAUUGGCCGAGGGGUUUAUUGAUGUAAAGGGGCGGGGCCUGCUUUUAUUUUUCUGAGACAGAGUUCUAUGUGUCAUUUACUGGAGAAAAAUAUUAAAAGAAAAGCUAUUUUUUAUGGA